GAGCGGAACCAUGGAGUGGGGAUCACCCGAUCCCAUUCCGAACUCGGCAGUUAAGCCCCACCUCGCCGAAAGUACUGCGGCGCCAGGCCGCGGGAGGACAGGUCGUUCCGCUCG
rnacentral:rRNA from 1 species